rnacentral:rRNA from 1 species
GAUGAACGCUAGCUACAGGCUUAACACAUGCAAGUCGAGGGGAAACGAUAUUGGAAGCUCGCUUCCGAUAGGCGUCGACCGGCGCACGGGUGAGUAACGCGUAUCCAACCUGCCCAUCACUUGGGGAUAACCUUGCGAAAGUAAGACUAAUACCCAAUGACGUCUCUAGAAGACAUCUGAAAGAGAUUAAAGAUUUAUCGGUGAUGGAUAGGGAUGCGUCUGAUUAGCUUGUUGGCGGGGUAACGGCCCACCAAGGCGACGAUCAGUAGGGGUUCUGAGAGGAAGGUCCCCCACAUUGGAACUGAGACACGGUCCAAACUCCUACGGGAGGCAGCAGUGAGGAAUAUUGGUCAAUGGACGAGAGUCUGAACCAGCCAAGUAGCGUGCAGGAUGACGGCCCUAUGGGUUGUAAACUGCUUUUAUAAGGGAAUAAAGUGAGAGUCGUGACUCUUUUUGCAUGUACCUUAUGAAUAAGGACGGGCUAAUUCCGUGCCAGCCGCCGCCGUAA